AAUAAAAUCACUAUUGCAUUUUGUUCUUGUUAAGGUGGAAAUACCAUGACAGCAUCUUUGCUUGCAAUUUUUUUCAUAUUUGACCUUUAGACCAGAACCUUUGAACACAGAAAAGAACAGUGUUAAAACAAGGUGUUUUAAAAUAUACCUUUGACAGUUUUGAAACUUUCCCUUUUAUUUCUGUUUUGGGUUAUUUACUUUUUAUCGGCAUUACUUCUUCCUACUGAUAAUAACUUCUUGUUUGAAUAGGUUCUUUCAUGUCCUUCGUAAUAUACUACAUCACAGUAGAGAUUAUAUCACUGAAAAAAACAAGACUGCAAGAUUUGUAUCUGGGAAUGCAUCCAGGACUAGUUCACUAUUCUCCCUACUGGACUACACUGAGUGAUUUAGAUGCGUCCUCAAUAAAAGAUACUGGGUAAUCUGUAAUUGUCAACAUAGCACAGCUGGACACUGGAGGAAUUAUUUUGGGCCUUGCUACAAAUGAGAAGAAAUUAGGAGCUGACAUUUACAUUAUCUAAGGAAGAAGAAAGAAUUAUGGAGAACAAAACCACAAUGGAAAUGUUCUGAAAAAUACAAAAGAAGUGCUUUAUUACCUAGUUGUAUGCUUCCUCUAGUUUCUCAAUGACACCAAAAUCCUUGAUAUUCACUUUUACUCAAGUGUGACAUGUAAUGCCUGUGAGGUUAGUCAGAUAACUAUUGAAUUUCACUUCCUCACAUAAUCAGAAAUACAAUGAUAUAGAGACAAUAUAUUAGGAAACAUGAUUUAGAUGUCAAUCAUGUGUGGUUGGCCAUUUUUAGCUUUUAAAGUUAAAUAAAGUAGUAUGAAUUUCUGAGAGAGACAGAAACAUUUAGGUUCAUCUAGAAGAGAAUACAGGAUUCUUUAAGGUUUUUCAAAAUAAGAAUUUCAGCCAAGUGAAUUGUAGGGUAUUUUCUUAAAGUUCUUCUAUGAAAGGGAAUGCCUGAGUGAUAUUGAGUUUGCAGUGCUGUAGAUACUCAUGCAUAUUUGUAGUCUUCCUUUCUCUUGAUAUAAGAGUUGUUAAUAUUUAUAACAUCUGUUGUAAAUAUCCAGGGAAAUUCUUAGGAUUCCCUGAGGAGAAAAAGAAAAAAGGAAAUACAUUUUUUCCCGCAAGAGGCAGAACUGCUGCUGCAGACAGCUGGCUGAAAUUAUUCCCAGAGUCUUCUGAAUCCAGUCCCAAGGUGAAUCCCAUCACCUGAUCCAAACAUGACUUAGGUCCUGGUUGAGGGCAUUACUUCAGAUUUCUUUAAAACAAUGCAAAAAUUCAGGAUUCCUGAGUGUGAAGUCUAGACGUCAUUGAAGUCCUUCAUUAGUAUUUUUUUUUUUUUAUUUAUUUUUUGGUUCUAUAGUCUUUCCCAGUAUGGUUAAAAGAUUCAUAUGUUGAGGUUUUCAUUAUUUUAUGUCAUCAAAGUUUAAGUACAGACCUAAUGAUCCCUGUCAUUACAGGCUGCAUUUGCUGAAACAGUAUGCCAGAAGGUAAUAAAUGUGCUCGACAAGAGCAAGGACAGUGUUCCUUCCUUGUGCACAAGUUCAUGUUCAUGUGAAGCUGCAGAGCUAACACCAUUGAUGGUAGACCACAGGAUAAUAAUAGCAAUGUAGAUGUAUCACAUUAAUCUAAGUGAAGAGACGUGUCACAGAUCUCUGAAUGUACCUUUGAAGAUAACCGAGAACUACUAUACUAAGAUCAGGUGCAGCAGGACUUCUACAAUAUGUAACAGGAGGAAAGAUGAUGCAGUUAGGAAAAAAAUAAAUCAAUGCAAGAAGCAGCAGCCUUAUUUGUUAAAUUCCAGGCAGGCUGAUGGAUGAUGAUGAAUGACAGAACAGAUUAAAUGCUUUCAAUUAUUUUAUUGUGCCUACAGGCAGGUAUCUAGAACUUUCAUUUUACUUUUUCUACUCAAUUUAGGUUGAAUAUAAACCAUAAUAAUGAAGCUGAUACUGAAUCAAUUAGACAUUACUGAAAUUGUUAACUAAAAAAAAUAAAUACAGAAAUAAUAAAAUAAAGACUUAUAAUUCAGCUUGGCCUGGUACCAAAACUUCAUGUAAGUAUUGCAUUAAAAUGGAGUACUGAAAAUUCAGCAAUGACUAGAUAAAAUAUAGAAAUGUAAGCAGAAAAGCCAUUCCUUUCCUUGUAUCAAGAAAGAUGCACAUACAGCAAUUAUUAAAUUGCCAGUGAGAAAAUCAGCCACUGAACAGAUGUUUUUCUUCUUUGUGAGUGAGAAUAGAUGUCUGAUCUAAUGGGCUGAGAACUAGAAAACAGCAAAAGGCACGUGUAAAACUGGAAGAAAAGAGAAUGAUUUUGCUCAUAUUUAGAAUAGGGCAAAAUAAAAUAGCUCUUCUGAAAUCUAUUAUAUUGGGUAGCAUAAAACAGAUUGUAAAGAAGUUGUUACCCAUUAGCCAAAGCAAAGCAAAGCAAAUAUUAACUCAGCAACAUAUUUCAUGUAAAUAACUUCCAAUUAGUAUUUUAAUGGUAUCUUUAAAAAUAUUUUCUGAAAUAAUUUCUGUAAUUUGCAAUACUUUCCAUAUAUAUUAUUUAUAUAUUGAUUCAUAAACGUUUUUAUUAUUUGCUUGAUUUGAAUUCUAAACCAUGCUUUAAUUUCUGGAGCGCAUUUGUAUAGAUUACAAACUACUCUUUCAACACAGUAUUGUGACAUUGAGGACUUUUUUCCUUCUUUAUAUUCUGUCCUGAAUAUUUUCUGUUUUAAGCCUCUGUAAUUUCCAUGCGAAAUUGUCACAAAUAUACUCUGUGCACAGAAACUGUCAUCUACUCAUUCUGAAAGCAACACAAGAGAAUUUUCUACAAAGCCUUGGGAGAAGAGGAUACAAACUUCCCUGACCUUGAAGAGUUAACCAGACCCCAAAACCCUUAAACAAUUAGUGAGGUCCUUACACAUGGAGAGAUGCCAUGUCCAAUUAAAAAUGAGUCCCAGCUGUGAGUACCCACUAAUAAAGGGCUUUGGGAGUAAGAAAAGCUCUGAGUCUUCUUAAGAGACAGGAGUAUUGGGACUUACUAUGUGUGGAAAAGCUGUAGUGUCAGAAGUCAACUAUGGCUCGACCAGCUUCAAGGGAAGGAAAGCUGUUAUUGAAGAGUAGCUGCUAAGGGAAAUGCUUGGCUUUGUGGUGCCCAGCUGUUUUGCAGUGUACUUUGUGGUGAGUUCUCUUUACACAAAUCUAUAUGCACUAGCUUAUAAAAUUGUUGCAAGUUAUGUGUUGGGUUUUUUUAAAGGUGUUACAAUUAUAUUGAAGGCUGAGAUGCUUACUUGUGCUGUAAUGUGCAGAGAUUGUGAAAUAAUGAAUCCAAACUAUAAUCUUUUACCUUCAGAGAACUGUCUUCAUUUAAAUAUGCUUCCCCAUACUUUCAGCAAUAAAGCUGGGAGUUCUGUUCUGUGGAUGCUUGAUUUCAUGGCACACUUUAGUUAUCAGUCUUCUGGGUAAUGUUAAGACUGGACAAAACUACAGCUGUAUUU